UUCCCUUAGUAGGGGCGACCGAACAGGGAAAAGCCCAGCGCAGAACCUCCCGGGCCACCCGGCCUGCGGCGGAAUGUUGCGUAAAGGGAAAGGCCGUAGUCAAACCCUACAACCACGCGAUUCUCUAAGUCAGCCACGAAUCGGCUAUCCCAACUAACGGCGGGAAAGGCUCCAUGGAGGGUGUAAGACCCGUAUGGGCGCGUGUCAAUGUUGUGUGGGUUCGGUCUCUUCCCUGAGAGUCGCGUUGCUUGAACAUGCAGCGCUAAGCAGGUCGUAAACUCGAUCUAAGGCUAAAUAUGUCCACAGGUCCGAUAGUAAACAAGUACCGUGAGGGAAAGUUGAAAAGCACUCUGAAGAGAGAGUCAAAAGACCGUGAAACCGCUCAGAGUAUAAGCCCAUGGAGCCUGGAAGGUAUCCGCUACCCAGCUCACAUGUUCUAUGUGAACGUUAAAGUCAUGAGUAAGGUUCGUUUGGGUGUUGCUACGGUAGCGAAUCUACAGCAUCUGGCGUCCGGCGAAUUGCCCACGGGGUUGGGGCUUGCCGUUUAACGGCGGUGAGCUCACUCCUCUCGUCAGCUUUUCCCAAGAAUAGACGAUCAAGGUUAUGACUUUUUGCGGUGAUUGCCCACCACAGUUCGUUGUGAGGUCACCCACAGGCUCAAACUGUCGAUUGCGUGCCCAACACGCGCAGCAUUCCAAGUGUGUGCAAUGAUCCCCGACACGAGGCUCGGUGGCUAGCACGCACGCACUGUAACGUUGGGCCGGGCGACGAUCCGAGUAUAUCCUGGUAUGAUCCUCGUGCGACGAUCUGUUUCUGACCGAGCUGACCAUCAUGCCCACCACCCAUUGCCGGGUGGAGGGAGCCCGCAUUCAAGGGCGGACUGUCUGGCCAACUGAUACUUUCAGCGUCUCGGUCUUUUGGUGUCACUGGCUCGUAUGGUGUUAAGUCCAGCACCAUCGGUCACGUCUCGAAACACGGGCCAAGGAGUAUAGCAUGUGUGCAAGUCUAAGGGUCUCACAAAACCCGCAGGCGAAGUGAAAGCAAAGGUGUGGCGGGAGAGCCUCGGCGAUCCCGUCAGCUUGGUGGUAAAAUAUCCGGCUUUAGCCGAGCUGAUCCUGUUCUGUUGGCAAUGUCUCUAAACAGUCGCAAGCUCCGGGCUCACACAACAACACUGGCUCUUCGGAGCUGUGUCGUGAGCACUGUGGAGCAUGCAUGCUAUAACCCGAAAGAUAGUGAACUAUGCCUGGCGAGGGCGAAGCCCCAGGAAACUGGGGUG
rnacentral:rRNA from 1 species